UGAGGUGAAUGAUGGAAUAUGUAGAUGCACUGAGCUGGUUGCGUUUCUUGUCGGCAUUUGUUGAUUUAUAUAUGCAAUUGAAUGAAUACCUUGAUUAAAGGAACACUUGUUGGCAAAUGCAGAAAUGUUGUACAUAUUAGCAUUAGCUUAACCAUUUGGGGACCGAACCGCUCGACGGGCGAGCGUCGCUGAGGACAAGAGGUAUUGGAGUGCGCAGUAAAGAAAAUAAAUUCGUUAAACGUUAUAAAAAAUAAGGUUUUAUUUAACACAAGACACAUUUUUUUAUAAAAUGAAAAAAUAAUUAUAAACAAACUGCUAUCACUGCUAAUGUUGAAGUGCCUGAGCGGAUUCCUUAUUGCACGGAUUUCACUUCCACUUAACGAAGUAAUGCCGACAUCUUCCGUCUUAUCAGAUUCAAAGUAAUAUUCUUCAGAACUUGUCACUAUCUAACGUAUCAUCUCUAGAUCGCUUAGCCAUCUUGUGUAGGAUAAAAUAUAAAAUAUAUAAAAAGCCAGCUGAUUCCUUUGCCAAUAACAAUGAGAUACCGAAUCGAAGAACUGAAAUUCGUUCUGACUCUACCGUCGUCUCACAUCCUAAGUUUACAUUAUAAGGAAGAUAAGUCUUCAUCGCUAAUGGUCCCUAAUGUCUUUGAAUGAAAAUGUGACUAUUAUACUAUACCUAUGCGUAUCUUAUCGCUCAUAACGAAAGACGUCGCGAGCCUUGCAGCUGUGAACUAAUUUGGGCGGCUUUAAGAUGACACUCGUCCCUAAAGGGUUGAAGAAGUAUUUGUGUAUAUAGGCUAAUAAACGGCGACGUUCCUCUGCGAAUUUGAGAUCUUCACUGAAAAAAGCAUUGCAACAACCAGAAAAAGACCUGUGACACUCCGGUUUACGCCGUGGAAAUGACCCCGACUAUUGUCCCAGUUCAGCAGCGUUUCACAAAAAAGUACAAUGAAUGUUUUAUGCUGCUACACAACAAUAGUGCAAUAAACAAAAAAGUAGAUAUGCGCCGGUAC